rnacentral:rRNA from 1 species
AUUGAACGCUGGCGGCAUGCCUUACACAUGCAAGUCGAACGGUAACAGGUCUUCGGAUGCUGACGAGUGGCGAACGGGUGAGUAAUGCAUCGGAACGUGCCCAGUAGUGGGGGAUAGCCCGGCGAAAGCCGGAUUAAUACCGCAUACGACCUGAGGGUGAAAGGGGGGGAUCGCAAGACCUCUCGCUAUUGGAGCGGCCGAUGUCAGAUUAGCUAGUUGGUGGGGUAAAGGCCUACCAAGGCAACGAUCUGUAGUUGGUCUGAGAGGACGACCAGCCAGACUGGGACUGAGACACGGCCCAGACUCCUACGGGAGUCAGCAGUGGGGAAUUUUGGACAAUGGGCGCAAGCCUGAUCCAGCAAUGCCGCGUGCAGGAAGAAGGCCUUCGGGUUGUAAACUGCUUUUGUCAGGGAAGAAAUCUUCUGGGUUAAUACCUCGGGAGGAUGACGGUACCUGAAGAAUAAGCACCGGCUAACUACGUGCCAGCAGCCGCCGUAA